rnacentral:miRNA from 14 species
CGAGGAUGGCGGCGGCGGCGGCGGCGGCGGCGGCGGCGGCGGCGGCGGCG